GACGAACGCUGGCGGCGUGCUUAACACAUGCAAGUCGAACGGGAUUUAGUAGACAGAAGCCUCGGCUAAAGAUUACUAAUGAGAGUGGCGAACGGGUGAGUAACGCGUGAGCAACCUGCCUAUGACAGUGGGAUAGCCUCGGGAAACUGGGAUUAAUACCGCAUAAAAUCGUAGAAACACAUGUUUUAACGGUCAAAGAUUUAUCGGUCAUAGAUGGGCUCGCGUCUGAUUAGCUAGUUGGUGAGAUAACAGCCCACCAAGGCGACGAUCAGUAGCCGGUCUGAGAGGAUGAACGGCCACAUUGGAACUGAGACACGGUCCAAACUCCUACGGGAGGCAGCAGUGGGGAAUAUUGCACAAUGGGGGAAACCCUGAUGCAGCGACGCCGCGUGAACGAAGAAGGUAUUCGUAUCGUAAAGUUCUGUCCUAUGGGAAGAUAAUGACAGUACCAUAGAAGAAAGCUCCGGCUAAAUACGUG
rnacentral:rRNA from 1 species